rnacentral:sRNA from 1 species
CUCAGUCCAGUACCAUGUCUGCCUGCGUGCCUCCAUGCUUCUCCAUUCUCUCCCCCAUUCUCCAUUUCUAUCUCCAUCGUGGUAAUGGACUGAAUGCCUGAAACUCCUGUUUCUCCCUGAAGACCAGGUUUUCUCUUUAGUUCAUUCGGAGACUCAUCUGGUUUAUGGGGAAAUUCCAGUAGAAGUAACGUGAAUUAAGAGCUUUAAGUCCUUAGCAUGUGCCUGGUGAUUCCAACGUGGUCAGGCAAGCAGCACAACCACAGGAGCUCCACAGGGUACCACGGGAUCUUGGCUCAGCAACAGCUCUCAUGAGUUCACCUGCUCCUGGCACGGAGAAGAGUUCUGGAAAUCUUGACGCGGCUUGGGAAGACAAUGUGAAAGUUGUCAGAGAGAGAGGCCAGGGUGUGUAUCCGGAGCUCGGAGGCCCAGCAGUUAACUUUCUGCAGACUUCUGACACUUGUCUCCCUGUUUGUGGAAGACAUCUCUGCACAACCCUUAGGCCUGGAGGGUCAGAAAGCAAGCACAGUGGAAGAUGUAGACACAGUAAGCAAAGGCACAAAGAUGGAGGGAAACCAGGCUUCAGAUAAGACUAAAGUACAGAAUUAGCCCUGCAGUUAUGGAAACAUGAGCUGUGACUUUCUUGUAGAUAUCUGGGAAAUCACAGGGAAGAUUAAAAGAAAAACACAUACAAGGCUCUGGAAAGAUGGCUCAGUGGUUAAGAACAUUGGCUUUUCUCCAUCACUGUCAUAGCUGCCUAUGAUGCCAGCC